GGUGAACGCUGGCGGUAGGCCUAACACAUGCAAGUCGAACGGCAGCACAGUAAGAGCUUGCUCUUACGGGUGGCGAGUGGCGGACGGGUGAGGAAUACAUCGGAAUCUACUUUUUCGUGGGGGAUAACGUAGGGAAACUUACGCUAAUACCGCAUACGACCUACGGGUGAAAGCAGGGGAUCUUCGGACCUUGCGCGAUUGAAUGAGCCGAUGUCGGAUUAGCUAGUUGGCUGGGUAAAGGCCCACCAAGGCGACGAUCCGUAGCUGGUCUGAGAGGAUGAUCAGCAAAACUGGAACUGAGAAACGGUACAGACUCCUAGGGGAGGCAGCAGUGGGGAAUAUUGGAAAAUGGGCGAAAGACUGAACCAGCCAUACCGCGUGGGUGAAGAAGGCCUUCGGGUGGUAAAGCCCUUUUGUUGGGAAAGAAAAGAAGCAGGUUAAUACCCCGCUGUUCUGACGGUACCAAAAGAAUAAGCACCGGCUAACUUCGU
rnacentral:rRNA from 1 species